GACCUGACUGCUAUCGGAUUGAUACUAAGCCAUGCGAGUCAUUGUAGUAAUACAAGGCAGACGGCUCAGUAACGCGUAGUCAACCUAACCUAUGGACGGGAAUAACCUCGGGAAACUGAGUAUAAUGUCCGAUAGAACAUUAUCCCUGGAAUGGUUUAUGUUCCAAAUGAUUUAUCGCCGUAGGAUGGGACUGCGGCCUAUCAGUUUGUUGGUGAGGUAAUGGCCCACCAAGACUAUUACAGGUACGGGCUCUGAGAGGAGUAGCCCGGAGAUGGGUACUGAGACACGGACCCAGGCCCUAUGGGGCGCAGCAGGCGAGAAAACUUUGCAAUGUGCGAAAGCACGACAAGGUUAAUCCGAGUGGUUUCUGCUAAAGGAACCUUUUGUCGGUCCUAGAAACACCGAUGAAUAAGGGGUGGGCAAGUUCUGGUGUCAGCCGCCGCGGUAAAACCAGCACCUCAAGUGGUCAGGAUGAUUAUUGGGCCUAAAGCAUCCAUAGCCGGCUCUGUUAGUUUUCGGUUAAAUCUAUACGCUCAACGUACAGGCUGCCGGGAAUACUGCAGAGCUAGGGAGUGGGAGAGGUAGACGGUACUCGGUAGGAAGGGGUAAAAUCCUUUGAUCUAUUGAUGACCACCUGUGGCGAAGGCGGUCUACCAGAACACGUCCGACGGUGAGGGAUGAAAGCUGGGGGAGCAAACCGGAUUAGAUACCCGGGUAGUCCCAGCUGUAAACUAUGCAAACUCAGUGAUGCAUUGGCUUGUGGCCAAUGCAGUGCUGCAGGGAAGCCGUUAAGUUUGCCGCCUGGGAAGUACGUACGC
rnacentral:rRNA from 1 species